GGGUGAGUUAACACGUGGGUACUGCCUGUAAGAUCGGGAUAACUCCGGGAAACCGGGGCUAUACCGGAUAAUUCAUUUCCUCGCAUGAGGAAAUGUUGAAAGGUGGCUUUUAGCUACACUUACAGAUGGACCCGCGGCGCAUUAGCUAGUUGGUGAGGUAACGGCUCACCAAGGCCACGAUGCGUAGCCGACCUGAGAGGUGAUCGGCCACACUGGGAC
rnacentral:rRNA from 1 species